rnacentral:rRNA from 1 species
AUUGAACGCUGGCGGCAGGCCUAACACAUGCAAGUCGAGCGGAUGAAGGGAGCUUGCUCCUGGCUGCAGCGGCGGACGGGUGAGUAAUGCCUAGGAAUCUGCCUGGUCGUGGGGGAUAACGUCCGGAAACGGGCGCUAAUAUCGCACACGUCGUGAGGUAGAAAGUGGGGGAUCUUCGGACCUCACGCUACCAGAUGAGCCUAGGUCGUAUUAGCUAGUUGGUGUGGUAAAGGCCUACCAAGGCGACGAUCCGUAACUGGUCUGAGAGGAUGAUCAGUCACACUGGAACUGAGACACGGUCCAGACUCCUACGGGAGGCAGCAGUGGGGAAUCUUCGACAAUGGGCGAAAGCCUGAUCCAGCCAUGCCGCGUGUGUGAAGAAGGUCUUCGGAUUGUAAAGCACUUUUAGUUGGGAGGAAGGGCAGUAAGUUAAUCCCUUGCUGUUUUGACGUUACCAACAGAAUAAGCACCGGCUAACUUCGUG